GGACUACCCGGGUAUCUAAUCCUGUUUGAUCCCCACGCUUUCGUGCCUCAGCGUCAGGAAAGCCCCAGCCGGUUGUCUUCACCCUUGGCAUUCCGAUCGAUCUCUACGCAUUCCACCGCUCCACCGAUCGUUCUACCGGCCUCUAGCUUCCUCUAAGACGUGCAGUAUGCCCUGCGGUUCCUGGGUUGAGCCCAGGGCUUUCACAAAGCACUUACACGCCCGCCUACGCACCCUUUAAGCCCAGUAAUUCCGACUAACGCUCGGGGCCUCUGUCUUACCGCGGCUGCUGGCAC
rnacentral:rRNA from 2 species